GAUGAGUUCUCCCUGACUCCCUGAGAGUCCUGAAGGAACGUUGAAGACGACGACGUUGAUAGGCCGGGUGUGUAAGCGCAGCGAUGCGUUGAGCUAACCGGUACUAAUGAACCGUGAGGCUUAACCUUACAACGCCGAAGGUGUUU
rnacentral:rRNA from 1 species